UUGAUGAAGAUAUUGACGCCAUCAUGGCAAUGGAGGCGCAACUCAGCCCACCUUGCGAGCCCCAACUUCCGUCUUUCUUCCCGUCAUUCUCAGGUGAGAAAAGUGACGAUGGCAAGUCUCUGCU
rnacentral:ribozyme from 1 species